GUCUUUUAGAACAGGGUCUGCCUCCCUGAAAAUCACCUGGAGAAGGCAACUUCUAUAAUCUGAGAUGCUUUGAUGAGUCCUCCAGCACAGGCAGGAAAAAGGAAAAAAUACCCAGUGUGAUGACCUUCUACCAGGACUAUAGAUUUUUCACUCUAGAUUGAAAUCUUCAAAGCCUAUGGCUUCAUCAACUACCAAUUUAUUUGAGUAUCAAGCUGUGAAGACAUCGAAAUCAAUUAUGUUGGCUGCAGCGAUUAACGUGUGUCUAGCCAACGCUGGCAUAUAAUGACUGCUUGUAACGCUUGCUGUCACAACCUUUUUAUCAUAAACGAUAUCCUCAUUAAUAACCAAACUCAUCCCCAUGGCUGUCUAACGGCCAGGAGGUCGCCCAGUCAGCACCCACACCUCGAGCUAAUGCAUCUCUCCAACAGCUCUCUUUUAGUUUUUGUACAUUUUUCUUCCAAUUUUGACAAUUUUUCAUUUGUCACUGUGACUGAGAAAGGAAAUACAAUGCAUAAAAUAUAAACUUGGCAAAAAUGUCAGAAGAGCCAGUGCUCAAAAAAUGAAGCAUGAUGUUUUGGUGGCAAAUGUUAACACAGGCUCACAGACUUCAGACCAGAAGAGAUACAGAGAUGGUUGUAUGAUUGCAACAGGAUUUCAUCUCUAGAGGAUCAAGGAGGUCAACCUAGCUAGGAGACCUGUGGGAAAUCAGAUAUGCUAUCAAAGACACGAAAUUAAAAGACAUAUGUUCCUUGGCAGAAAAGCUAUGACAAACCCAGCCAGCAUAUUAAAAGGCAGAGACAUUACUUUGCCGACAAAGGUCCAUCUAGUUAAAGCUAUGGUCUUUCCAGCAGUCAUGUACGGAUGUGAGAGUUGAACCACAAAGAAGGCUAAAUGCCAAAGAAGUGAUGUUUUUGAGUUGUGGUGCUGGAGAAGACUCUUGAGAGUCCCUUGGACAGCAAGGAGAUUCAACCAGUCCAUCCUAAAGGAGAUCAGCCCUGAAUAUUCAUUGAAAAGACUGAUGCUGAAGUUGAAGCUCCAAUAUUUUGACCACCUGAUGCGAAAAGCCCACUCAUUGGAAAAGACCCUAAUGCUGGGAAAGACUGAGAACAGGAAGAGAAGAGGGUGACAGAGGAUAAGAUAGGCAGCAUCACAAACUCAACGGACACGAAUCUGAGCAAGCUCCAGGAGACAGCAGAGAACCGGGAGCCUGGCAUGCUGCAGUCCACGCGGUCACAGAGUCAGACACAACAUUGCAACUGAAUAACAUCAAUGACACAGGCACAACCUUCAAGAUCAACGCUGUGCCGCAGAAGGUGGAGAUGAUGGCUGGUGCCGGCGAGCAUACGGCACCACUACCCACACACGACUUCUGAGCACUUGAAAUGCAGCUAGUGCCGCGCAGCAGAUGAAUCCUCAACGUGAUUUUACAUCAGUUAGAUUUAAAUGGCCAGACCAGCUCUAGAUCAUUAGGUCCUCAUGGGGGAAAGGUGUGCACCUUUGGUCUGAGAGAAUGAGGGUCACGUGAGACCUUUUGGAAACCUAACCAUUUACAUAUGGCUAUGGCAGGGCGCAGGUAGCCUAACCUGGGUAUGUCUGGAGACUGGCUUCCCUGUGCCGGGGGCCCCGACCCACCUCAGAGUUACACAGGGUGCUGUAUGGCAUCCUCAGAUCCAGGUUAGCACAGCCUGGUCCAGGGAUGUUUCUGAACUUGGUGCUGAGGAAUGGAACAGGGUCAGGCCCAGAUAUCUCGAGGAGUCACCCUGGAGAGCAAGAGAGACUGUCCUCCACCCAGACUCUCAUCCCCUCGGGGAGGCAGAGGGGCGGCCCACACCCGGGCUAGUAGUGAACUUCUCACCGCCCUUGUCAAGCGGAGGCUCAAGGUCACGUUUAAUUUGAUUUAGAAGAAGCGAUGCAGUAACGGGGCACGUUUGGCUCCUGAACGUGAGCAAACCCACACCUGCUCGGAGACACGGCCUGGUUGGCUUCUCAAGCAAGUGUUCUGACCUGUCGAUUCUCCCAUCACGCCGUCACAUCUGCUCCCAGAGGCCUGCUGCUUACAAAAUGAAUUCUCUUAUCUCCCAGGCUCGAGGUCCUUUUCUAGUUUACAGCAGGAAAAAAACGUCCAAAAAAACAACAUGCGGAGACAUGCCUGUGGUUUGGGCCGUUAAUCACAGGACCCAGCGGGCCGGGUGGGAGCGCCCAGGCUCCUGGGUGAGGAGCCCCCUCUCCUGAGAGAGAGGGACGUUGUGCCUUCAGGUCAGGUGUGAGCCCCACCCGGAGCCCGUCCUCAGGCCUGGGCAGCCUGGGGCUCCACAGAGUGCCUCCUCCUCCCAAGGACCGGAGGGGUGGGAGCUGGAAAUGCAGAAGCAGGACGAGGGAAGCGUCACCGCCCCCGGGGGGCUGGGUAGCUGGAAACAGUGGGUCCCGUCAAGCAGGACCUGGACGGGCUCGUUUAUAAGCAAGAGCGCACUUUAUUUAGAGCCCCGGGGGACGGUGGCCCCUCUCCGAAGGCAGUGCCAUCACUCAUUUCCACCGGAAAAUAAACCCUCCCCCGCUCGGUCCACGCAGAGGGCCGGGAGGUGCGGGCGGGGCCGGAGCGGCUGGCCGCCUGUGCCCACCCCGGGCGGCCUUGUGCGCGAGGCGGCUCGGCCCUGCUGCGCGGCCCGGGGCUGGGAGCUGCACCGCGCCCAGCGGGACCCAGUCGGCGGUAGAGGCAAAGCAAGUCCAGAGACGGAGAGGCACGGCCUGGAGAGACGAUUGGCCAGGGCAGGGGAGGCCAUGGAGUGAGCGGAAGGACAAGAGAGGCUGCGGGGAGCCCGCCCGCCCGCGGAAAGCCCGCUCUGGAGGCCCGGGUUCUGUUCACUUAGGUAUCUGUACUCUGCAGGUGCUAAGAAUACUGUUUAUUAGGUGUUUGGGCUUCCCACACGGCGCUGUUGGUAAAGAACCCAGCUGCCAACGCAGGAGACCUAAGAGAUGGAGCUCUGUCCUUAGGUGGGAAGAUCCCCCGAAGGAGGGCAUGGCAACCAGCUCCGGUGCUCUUGCC
ensembl:lncRNA